rnacentral:tRNA from 1 species
UGGUAGGGGAGGGAGUUGAACCCGCAUAAUCAGAUUAUGAGUCUGAGAACUUACCGUUAGUUGACCCUACA